AGUACCUUUGAAUCUUUAACUGAAUAAAAAUCAAGCCAGGAAAGAACAGUUACUGGGGAGCAGUAAGCCAAUGAGUUAACAGAGCUCAAAAAGGGCAGGGAAGGGCCAGGGAUGUAGCUCAGUGGCGCCACACCUACAUGGCAAAUGCAAGGUCCUGAGUUCCAUCCCUGGUACCGCCAAAAACAACAACAACAAUCAUUUGAGCUCCCACCAACCAGAAUGGAAAGACUUGACCAUGUGGAACUUACAUUUGAGACCUAAACUUGGAGGCCCAGAAUAAAAGCUAGUGUAGAUCCUUCAAAAGCCCUUAAAAGGAUCAAACUGCUCAAUGAGUAACCUUACAGCCUGCUGGAACAAAGUCAACUACUCUGUAAAAGACUGCAGCAAAAUCCAAGAUCCAACAGCGUUAAAUUCAGAAUAUUUUAGCACCCAAUAAAAAAAUAAAAGAUGCCAUUCAUGGUGGUGAGAUAGGAGAUUAGGGCGUGGCAAAGUUAGUUAGGGAAGUGUGACCUGUUCAUUACAAGAUCACAGGACACAUGCACCCAACAGUUUCCAAAGCCCUGCGUAUGGACUUCUUGGGAGAUCUUGAGCAGAUUUUCAACAGAAUGGACAAGACCUGAAGUCACCCUGAGGCUACUGGAAAUUGAACCCAGGGCUUCACAAUGCUAGGAAAGUGCUCUACCAUUGAGAUACAUCUCCAGCCCAGGGUACAUUUCAAGAUCACACAUUGGAUGUAGUUGUCAUUUCACUUUGACAGCUUUUUUUUUUUAAAGACUUUCAAUUUUUUAAAAAAGACUGCCAAUUUGGGGCUUUUUGUUUGUUUGUUUGUUUUUUUGAGACAGGGUCUGGCUAGUUCAGACUGGCCUUGAACUCACUAUGUAGCCCAGGCUAGCCUCAAACUCACAGCAAUCCUCCUGCUUCAGCUUCCUGGGUGCUGGAAUGACAGGCAUGCACUACCCUAUCUGGCUUAUUUUGAUAUCUUUGAUAUCUUUAGUAACUACUGGCCUUCGCUGUAAGGUAGUCCUUCAUGUGCCUCUGUCAGAUGUCUUCUCAUGAACACAUUCAGAUGAUUCAUUCCUUGCUAAAGGACAAAAAAAUUCUGCUGUGAUUUUCUUAAUGCUUCACAUCAUAGAGGAACUUAUUGUCAUCCCAUCUUAACAAAAGUGAUAACAACCACGGCUUCCAGAACAAAGUACCACAGAUUGGAGGCUUAAAUAACAAAAAUUUAUAUCUCGCAAUUCUGGGGGCUAGAAGUCCAUAAUGAAGGUGCCAGUGGAUUGGUUUAUUGUGAGGCCUCUCUCUUUGGCCUGCAGAUGGCCAUCUUAUCCUUGUGUAUUCAUGCAGCCUUCCCUCUGUGCAUGUCUGUGUCCAUGUUCCCUCUUCUGAGCACAGUAGUCCUGUUGGAGUAGGACCCACCUUAAUGACCUUAUUUUAGCAUGAACAUUUCCUUAAAGAACUUAUGGGCUGGUGCAGCUUGGUGAUGGAGCACCUGCUUGCAUGUGCAAAGCCCUUGUUUCAAUUCCUAGCACUGAAAAAAAGAGAGAAAAUCAACAGACCCUCUCUCCAAAUCAACCACAUUCUAAGGUAUGGGGUGUUAGAACUUCAACUUAUAAAUUCUAGGGGGACAAUUCAGCCCACAGCAAUAGCCUUUAUCACCUCGUCAAGGUGGGGGAAGUUUCUCCACUGUAUUGUCACCAUUUUUCCUCGGUAACUGAUAUUUUAUGGAGAAGUGUACUCAGACUAGAUCAGUAUGCUGUAUCCUGUAUCAGACCCCCAUCCACAAGCUUUACCAUCCGCUGAUUAUUCUUAUUUGAGUCAGCUGUCAUUAUAAUAACCUGAAAUGAUUUUUUCUUUUUCCAUUAUGCCCUCUAUAAUUGGCAUUCUACUACAAAGACAAGCUUUCCUUUCUCACUUAUUUUUUAUUUAGAUCAGUAUACAAUUAUAGCUUUGGUUUUUUAUUCAGGGGGCUAUAAUUCGUUUCUAUCUUUUUUUCCCUCAAAUUGACCUUGAUUUGACCAAUGAAGUCCUUCCCUGUGUCUUUUUUUUUAAUUACAUGAUUUCAUUAUUUCUUAUUUUUUCUUUUUUUAAAUUUUAUUUAAUUUUUUAUUUUGAGGUAAGUUCUCACUAAACUGCUAAGUUGUCCAGGCUGGACUCAAACUUGAGAACUUCUUGCCUCAGCCUCUGAGGAUGCUGG
rnacentral:lncRNA from 1 species